ensembl:lncRNA
AUGUAUUUGAAAAGAAUUUGUAUUCAUAAUGUCAUUUUUUUCUUUUUUUUCUUAGCAUUGUCAAAACAUGAAAAUAAAGGGAAGAAGAAGUCAUGGUCUGGCAGUGAGAUUUUCUCAUCCUGCGGUGGUGGUGGAGCUGACCGUUUAGCAGCUCAUAACCUGGAACAAGGAUUCUGCGUGGAAGUACAGGAGAUGCAGAAGCAGAGUCAGUCGAAGCCAAAAACUUGGACUUCAGGAAAAGACAAUCUAAUGCCAGCAAUUUAGCAACACAACCAACUUCACACCCAAGAGGAAUUUCCCUCUUAAGGUAGGAGAGCCCCCUCUUGGCUGAGUAGAGGCAGGCCUUCCUGUUAGGGACAACGGUUCAAAGCUACCUAUUAAGACCAUGGCACAGAUGCUUUGCUAGUCCAAUACCUCAGAAGGUACUCAGCAGAAAGUUUGUUUUCAAAGUGGUGAAGGCUGGAGAUGCAGCCAUCCUAUGUUGGGGCUUGAUACACCCCCCAGGCCUUCCCUGACCCAAUGGGUUCAAACUCUGUGAAAAAAAUCUAUAUACGUAGUUUUUUUUUUUUCCCAGUGACCAUAACAACUCUUUCCAUGAAGAGGUCCAGAUGUUUAAUUUUUCCAAAAGAAAUUUUAACAAAAACAAAAUAACAGUAACGGAGGAAGGAUCAUUUUUCCAUUGACUUCUUAACCCAAGUUUACGCCAGUCCAAACCACAGAUUCACUUCCCCUGAGCCUUCAUCCUUCGUCUUUCCUGCUUUGGGCCCGGGCACAGGUGCCUUCCCAGAAUGCUUCUGGUCAGGCGCUUGCAGCCACUGUAUUUAAUUUCAAGAAGCUGUUUUUCAAAGGCCAGCUGUGGACAGCAGAAGUUGUCACACUUUCUCUCCAACACUCUGGGCCUAAUAAUAAGCAGAACAUGGUUUCAUCAGCUUGAGCUACAUUUUCCUAAGUCAGUUAGGAAAUCCCCCACAUCCAGUGGCCUGCAAAAACAAAUACAGCUUCAGAAAAGAAUGGGCUUUUCGAACAGGCCUUGACCCGUUCCUAUCUCCCUUAAGCAAGAAGGGUUCGUUUGGGGAGGUGAGAAUUAACUGGGUUAAGUGACCAGAGUGGGAAGCUGUCCUUUGAAAUAUCAUCAACCCAGCCAUGAUGUCAUGCUUUGGAGUUUUUUCUUUCUCUCCCAAAUAGUUUUGCCGUCUGGGCUUAGAAGCAGUUUCUCCUCCUGAAGAUUCUAAAGCUUCUUCUGAUUUUUGUUAAGAUCCAUUUCUAUGGGAACAGUGAAGGUUGCAGGCCUUGCUGUGAGCCGUCGGGUCCCUGGACACCUACCUGGCCCUUCCUGCCAUCCAGCACCAUAAAAAUAAGAGAUGCCUGUGGGUGUCCCAUAGCUUGUUUGGUUAAUGCAAUGGCUCAUAACUAAAAUGCCAGUUUAACCACCAGUUUGUUUUGCUGGUGUUUGGUUUAUACAUAAACAUGAGUGGGAAGGGACCAACAUUUUUUUUUUAAAGUACGCAUUUUAUUUUUAUUACUGCUGCUUUGUUUUUUAUUUCAAAGGGAUGGCACAGAUUCAGGGUACAACAGCUGUACUCAGCCCAGCUGGAAGGCCCUGGGUUUUGAACGUCUAUUUCUUCAAAAAGGGUUAUGUGUUGAACAUUCAAGCGCUGGUAACCAUCUCUGUUUUAUUUGCCCUACAGCUCCUUGUAAAGCAGAAUCCAAGACCAUCUCCAGCUCAGAUGGAUGGAAGGGUUGGGGCUGAGGAACGCAAAGGCAAUUUAGACCAUGACAUCUGAUGGGGAGCUGGGCUGCUAGAUUCCAGCCCUUCUCACAUGCCCUUAUUCUUCAAGAGCACAUGGACGUUUUGUCUUUGUGUCCCUCCUGGCUUCCCUCUAGCUAGUAGAUUACACCCCCAAGGAAUACAUCUUUUGUCCAGUCUAGCUUGUUGUCUUACUGCAUAGCUUCCCUCAGAUUGGGGCUAUCUGGGACUAUCAGUCACACAGAGUAGACACUCAACCAAUACUGACUGACUUACAUGUUGGAUGGCUAAAUGAUUUGAAUGAUGAAUGGGUCUUCCCUGGGCGGGGGAACAACUCAAAUUUUAUGCUAUUUCCCAAGGCCAUUCAAUAUUUCUUAAAAGAUCAGACACACAGGCUGAAUCCUGAUCAGAAUCUAAUUUCCAAGGGAGAUCUGAAACAAAAUAGAUUUGGGGCACAUUGAAUUCUCUUCCUUGCUUUGUGUUCACUUAAAAUUCUUUUAAUUGUAGGUACUCUUUUGUCAAAUUAAAAUCCUGAGUGUGGUGACAGUGGCAAUUCAGUGACAAAACAUGGUUGAUGAGGAUAAAUUUGAACCCAGAUGAAAUAAUUCUGUAACAUUUUGGAAGAUUAAUUUUUCCAAGUAAUUUCAUCCUUCCUCUGAGACAAGAGAGAAUCAAGGCUCCUGUGGUCCAGGAUGGGUUCCUGUGGAGGAUUCUGGCUGGGCCAGGAAUAUUUCUUGACUAUAACUUGUAUAUGUGGAGUCAAGGGGGUUAAUCCAAGAUGUAGUAUCUUAGGCGGAAGACAAAGCCAAGGCUGACUUUCCAAAUGAGCUGUCCAUUUAAAUGGCUUGGGGAGUCAGGGAAAAAAAAUCUGUGCACACACGAAAAAUGAGAUGAAAACCAGGGCGAUUAGGCUAGAACGAAAGUCCAAAACAGAGGAUAAAAGGCAAAGUUGAGAAAUAGCCUGAAUGGUGAGAAAGUAAGGGCAGCAAUUUUUUUUAUUUUUUAUUUUUUUUCUUGUGUGUACGUGUGUAUGUGUGUGUGCGUGUGUGCGUGGAUGUUUGUGGUUUGUGAUGUGACCUGGGAGAGAGCUAUUAAAUACCCUCCCUUAGUGUGAACACUUCUUAAAUUUGUUUCUAGGAAAAAGAGAUUGGAAAAUCAAUUAACUAAGAAUUAUGGGGAAAUGAAAACAAGGGGCAGGAUCAAAAGAGAAAGGAAAAGAAAAAAGACUACAGCUGGAAGGUGGCACAUCUCCCUGGAAUAAAGACGUCUCAUCGUAGGCA